rnacentral:lncRNA from 1 species
GAGAAUGAGUGUGUGAGCGCGAACAAUGUCAUUCUGUUUCGGGGAGGCAGUGCUGCAGUCAACUUUGCUGCUCGGCGAGCGCACGCAGUCCUCUCUCUCCAUCCUCGUCCCUCCUUCCUUCCUGCCAUCCUUCCCCCGGCGGGGGAGCAGCGGCCCGUCGGCUGAGAUGCUCCACCCCUCCCCGUGUGGUUGCUUGGCUGAGAACAGACUGAGGGAGGCUGAUGGCGCUGAGCUGUGCUAGAACAUGCCUCAACUUGUACUGGCUUGCCUGGAGAGAGGGUGCAGGCUCGCGGUCACCAGCCUGGACAGCUGGGUGCUUCUCACUGACCUCUCGCAGACAGCAGGGACAACAUUGAGGGAUAGAGAGCAGCCCCAUUCAUCUGGACACGGGGUGAACUGGACCAGGGACCAGGGUCCAGACCAUGACCUAGAGAGCGAGGCUCAUCUCUGCUGGCCUGGUGGAAGUUCUUCCUGUGUUCCAAAGCUCCUCAACCCCCCCUCCCCAACCUUUUACAAGUCAUGCUUUGAUCACAGAGGGAUCAUGAAGCCACUGAACACAAACAGGUGUGCCUGCCUCUCCUGGGCGAUCGCCGUGGGUUGA